rnacentral:precursor_RNA from 10 species
AUAUAUUAUAGGCCUAAGACUCUGUUCACACGGCUGAUGAAACUUACAAAGUUGUCGUUCUGAUAUGGACUCUGCAGGUUUUAUCAGCCCUAUGACUGAAGUCGAAACGACUCAAUCCGUAG